UGAGUUGGCCCAGUGAUUAGAGCGUAGGUCUCAUAACCAAGAGGUUGCGGGAUCGAAUCCCGCUAGGGGCUGAA
rnacentral:tRNA from 1 species